CCGUUGCAAGGGACUCCGAAGAGCUGUGGCAAGGGGUGAAAAGCCAAUCUAACCUGGAGAUAGCUGGUCUUCUGCGAAACCCGUUUUAGCGGGUCGCCCAUUUAUUGAAAUUAAAUUCGUUACUAGACGGUACGGCACUGGAAGCCACGCAGCUUUUGCUGCAUAAUCGGGGGGCUGUCAUGGCUCUAUCGAUGGCUUCUAACCCCGGAAAUGUAUAGUAUACAAUGAUGGGCAAUCAGACGUAUCGUGAUAAGGCGAUUCGUCAAAAGGGCAACAGCCCAGAACAGGUGUGAAGGUCCCUAACAAGCUACUGAGUGAACACAAGGCAGUCCUCUCCAGUGUCUCUCCACAAAGUGGGCUUGGAAGCAGCCACCUUUUAGCGAUAGCGUAACAGCUCAGUGGUCUGAGCCUCCCUGUAAAAAGGGAAUAUUGCCUGGUGAGGGCGCCAAAAAUGUAACGGGUCUAUAGUAGUUGUCUCUCUGUUCCAGCUUUGGAUAUGGAGGGAGUGGCAGUUUCUUCACUGUCUCACCGAAACCCUGUCCUAGAUGUCAAAUUCUAGGGGUAGCAGAAUACCCAGCAAAUGGAAUGAAGCUUGCUCAUUGAGCCGGUGGACAUAGCUGGGCUAAGAAUGCUGACAUGAGUAGCCUAAAAGGAGGGUAAUUCCCUCUUCGCCGAAAGCAGAAGGGUUUCAUUUGUAAGGUCUAUACCUAGAUGAUUAAAGCAGCGGCCUCUAAGGUUCAGAGUAACAAAUUAGUUCCGAUGAGUAACUCUUCUAUAGGGCAGUAACCUUCCUUAUAAGUUUACCUUCAAGUAAUUAGAGGUAUACUUCAAAGAGUAAGGUUCGGGAAAGAGCCCUACAGAAUCAAUCUUAAAACCGUACCCUAAACCGACACAGGUCUGCAAGUAGAGCAUACUAAGGCGUAGAGAUAAUCGUCUUGAAGGAACUCGGCAAAAUGACCCCGUAACUUCGGGAGAAGGGGUGCCACUAAUAAGUGGCGGCACUAAACAGGGGGGCGCGACUGUUUACUUAAAACACCGGACUCUGCUAACACUAGCGUAGAUGUAUAGAGU
rnacentral:rRNA from 1 species